UAUUGUCAUCUACGAUUAGGAUUUUUCUUCCUAGGAGAAGAUGCUGCAGAGAUAACCUAAAGACUUCGCCGUUGCGGCAAUUUCCCUUGUUCCCCAUGUUACCCAUGGUUCGCUGUAGACAAGCGGCCACCAUACUAGCCCUUAGAGGUUUCAUGAUGACAGCAGGACUAUGAGCAUCAGAAGUCACAUUGUCACUCCGGGUUGAGCUAAUGGAUUUUGCUAAAAAGAAGAGUCUUGGAGGAACCUUUUGGUCCAUAUGCCUUAACUGAUCAACGAAAAGAACCGCCGAAUCUGAAUCAUUGUUCCAGACCUCCUCUUCAAAGAGCACCAUGUCGAUUCUGGGGUUCCUGCUUUUUAAUGAUGAUAAAACUUGAUUCAAGUCUGAGACGAUCUCGACUUGGAUUCCAAGCCUCUGGACAUGAUACUUGGAUACUUUGGCUCGGACGGAUCUGAGAUCCACCACUAGUGCCAAAUAAGUGCUUUAGCCAAAACUUUUGUUCAUCAACGCCAAUCUCUAUUGAUCUAUACGUAUAUUAAACCAAAAUUACUCUGUCUCACGUUUCUUUUUCAUCCAUAUAUGCCUGAACAUACAAAAAGGGUGUGGAUCUCACUUUUUUUUUAAUGGGAAUUGGCAUUGUUCUCAAAUGGUUAAAUCUUUUAUUAAAGAAUUUGUGACGUGUUACCUCCCUAUCUCGCAUGUUGCAUGCUUCCCCUCAUGUCAAUGACCAUGCGAGCUUAGCAAGUAGUUUUCAUUCAUGACUUGAAGUACAAGUCAAAAUAGUGCGUGAAAUAUCGCUGAUAUUGGGAUAUGAGGAUUGAGUCAUGCAUUAUAUCAAAAUUGCAAUUCGUGUAUCAAAAGACUAGUCAACGAGGAUAAUGUUUGACUUUUCAAAUUCUCUGAAUCAAUUCCCUUGUUUCUCUCUGGCCAAAGGGAAAAAGAAUCCUGGAUUCAUUGACGAUAUGAUAAAAAGAAUCGAGGAAAAAAUCCGGAUGGUAACACGUGCUCGUAAGUGGUGAACGAUACAACGUCGACAAGUUCGCCUGCGCUUUAGGCAGGGCUUUUCCCAAUAAAACGGCAUUCACGUAAUGAAGUAUACACACAGUGCACAUGAUUAGACAUAAGAACAUGAAAGAAAAUCGAGAAGGAUCAUGGGAUACCUCGCCCUCGUUUUGGAGCAUGUAGAACAGCGACUGCAGGAGCAAUCCUCCGCCUCGGUUUCAUAUUUUCUUCAGAUUUAACAGAAGUUACCUCAAUUGUAUCAAAAUAUCUAAUCAAACCAUUCUGAAGAGAAGUACUUCUGUAGCUUGCAAAAAUAAAAAAGAAGGUAGGAUGACAGAAGGAAAAGAGUGAUGUAAAGCUUUGCCUCUGCCUUGCACCUACGUCGUACGCCAGAGAAGCAUGAUGCGGAUUGUGUGAAAGUAGAAUACUCCAAAUUCAGUGUCUAAAAGUUUUAUAAAACAUUCUUGGUGGAAAAAAAUUGUGUAUGAAAGAUCCCAUGGAAUUGAAAUAUCUCUCUCAAUUCAAAAAUCCAAGUGUCUCAAUAAGGGCUUCAAGGGUGGUAGAAUUGGUGGAGAAGUCAAGCAGAAAAGUAAAUGCAUGUUUGGUAACCAUCAUGGUUUCUAUUUUGCCGUCCUUUUGUUCACUAAAAUAGAAAAAGAAAAUAGAAAUUUAUUUAGUAUCAUUAGGUAAUUUUUCUAUUCCGAAUUGAUUCGGAAUAUAAAUAAGAAAUAAAUAUAUAUAUAUAUAUAUACUUCUUUGUUCCAAGGGACAGAAUUGAAAAAAACAAAGUCUGAACAGAACUGACAAAAACGAAAUUUGAACAAAUAUUAUUUUCGAGAAUAAAAAUGUUACCAAAUGCUUCCUAAGUAACUUGGAUAAAGGAGCUGUGUUUUGGUUUUCCGAGAAAACUCUGUUUUUUAAUCUUUCUACCUGAACCGAAAGAGAAGCGGCUGGAACUUUUGGUUUCGGGUUUGGCCUGGUUAGGGUUCUCUUUUUAUAUAUAUAUUUUUUAAACACCUAGACGACGAGGACAAUUCCAAAUAAAAAGAGAGAGAACAAGGUAAACCACAAACCCCACAUAUUUCUUUUUCCCUUGGGCUUUCUCUCGCGUCUGAAGCAUAGAACCAAAAGGAGAGAGUACUAAUGGAGAAACCAUGGAUCUGACAAUGAAAACAUCUGAUGAUUCCCGAAAAAAGAUUCAUAAGUGGUUACUAAUGGAGUUGAAGUUACCAAAUUCUAACGAGUUGGUAUCAAUUUAUGCCUAAUUGCUCCACACAUAAUUCCUCUAACCACAUUCUCUAAACAAACCAAAGCCAAUCUAAAUUGAUCUUGUAAGAGAUCCGCUAUAGAACGAGUAUGCUUAUUUUUCAAAUGAUUCAUAUUGUCAAGUUUAUCCAUUCCAAAUUUCAUGCCAAUCAAAUAAUCAUUCGGACUAAUCUACCCACUCGGCUUCUUUAUCAAUUCAUGUAUCUACUCCAAGCAGAUUAUUGUUCCGUACUAUUAUCGAAGAAGAUUCAGGGAAAAUAUGCACUUUUUCGGAAAUCUAAAAAAAAAAAUCGAUGUAGUUUCAUUAUCGAGAAACCCUGUAAUUGAAAAUAACGGAGGCCAGGCGGUUCAUGGAAGACGACUACAGGACGUUCGACAUGAACCGGGCAGACUUGGUGAACCUGUGCCAGGAAGAGUCGGUGUGGACUUCGAGGGCCAGAAGAUCAAGGGCAAGGAGGGCUAUCGUCGCCAAACUCACCUCCCUUCAGUGCCAGCGGUGGCACGAUCGCCGUGGUCAUCGACUACAUCUGGCUAGACGGCAAGCAGGAUGCCCUCAUGUUCUCCCAGGCCUCUCUCUCUCUCUCUCGAUCGAAGGAUCCAUUAAUAUUUUUAUUUUAUAUCUUUUUAAGUGUGGAAGGAUAAUGACUUGGAUGAGAUGGCAAUUUUUGUUGAUUGAGACUUCCUUCGUUUCACAAAAGGCGUUUGUUUCACGAAAAUAAACUAACGGUGGAAAAUGUUUUCCAUCAAGAAAGAAACUCUUAUAAAAGACGGAAAAAUGUUUUUCUGUUUUGAGAAAGAGAAAACAUUUUCCAUAUCUUAUUUUACCUCACUUUCUUUUAAUAAAUAUGUUUUCAUUUUAAAAAAUCGAGUUUUAAUUAUUCUUUUUUUUUUUCCCUUUUCUUUCCUUUUUCUUUUCCUUUUUCUUUGGUUAGUCGCUAGUCGUUGGUCACUAGCCCAAAUGAAGGCCAGCGACCAACGACCGGCUAUUAGUGACUAUAACUUGCCAAUGAUCGCCUCAUAGAUCGUCCCUAGCAACCGAGGAAAAAAAAUGAAAGAAAAGAAGAAUACAAUUUAAUUUAAAAUUUGAAUUUUUUAAAAAUAAAAAGAACUGAAAAAAUAAAAAUAAAAAUAAAAUGAUCAAAAGAAGAGCAUGGAAGAAAAUCAAAUCAGAUGCGGAAAAUAUUUUCCACUUCAAUUUUAAGUUUCUGACGAAUGUGGGAAAAUAUGGUUAUAUUCCUAAAAAAUGAUUUCUAGGAAAAUAUUUUCAGAAAACAUUACAUUUUCCGCGAAACAACCUAAAUAUCACUUCAUAGCACUUCAUAGCGGAGUAUCUAUUUAUAAGAAGAUUUAUAGCGGAGCCGAAUUGUUGCUCCGAUCAAGUUCAAGAAAAAGCUAACUUUUUGGGGGUGAUGCCCAAAGAAAUUGACCAUUUUUAAGUUAUUAUUUCUUCCCUCCUCCUCAAUAAAUCAAUCUGUCAAUCCCUCUCCCUCCAAAUUUCUCAUGUCAUUUUAUCGAAGGAAUUCUACCGCUUUGUUACCUGUCCCGUGGGAGUUGCCAGAUGCCCUCCUUGUAAACCUGCAGUCUAGCUAGAUGUUUCUGAUACAGGGUUCGUGAUAUUGAUAAAUAUAAAAUGGUCUUAUUUGACAGUAUUGAAUGAGAUUAAGAUAUGAACCCAACACCCACAAGGAAGCUUUUAUGUAUCAUCCCUAAAUUGGAGGACCUUCGAUUGGAGACAGGAUCUUGGACAGGGCAGCGUGUUGGCAGUACGCUCGAGAUUGUCCAAUGCGAACCGUUUUCUCUAGGCUUUUCAGAGGCCGGGAAUUUCAGUCUGUUUUUCCUUUCAAUAAAACUUAUAGUAGGACUGUUUGAAACAGAUUUCUAUGUACGUGAUUUGGUAAGAUAGAACCGCACGUCUAAGUGGAGUUCAUGUUCGAACUGAGUCUGCCUAUGUCAGCUUGCUAUUUCAUGUUCAAGUUUUUAUAUUCCGCUUCUCCCUGGUGCAUGAUUUGUUAGGGAGAAAAAGAAGAACUGCGUAUCAUUCAUGUAUUAUAUUUACAAAGGUCUGUACAUUAAAGAAAUACAAUGAAAAUACGCUUCUCCCCAAAACCAUUUAUUUUUCUACACAUCUUCUUGCUUCUAUCUAGGAAAAGAAAGUGGUAGUCUCGAGCUGGAUCACCCGAAAAAAGUCGUUCUUUAUGUGAAAGCCUCCUUCUGCUACUGGCGUUAGGGAAAAUGUCUGCGGGCAAAAUUGAAGAUCUGCUUACGGCGGCCUAACGCGGUGACAGCCCAGUGGCCCACUACGUGGAUCAACACGCCCCAGCCGUUGCCGUUGCCGUUGGGCUGGCUGUGUUAUAAUAUAUUUAUUAUUCUAAAAUGAUCCCAAUAUUGUGUUCCUAAUUAGUUCCGAUUUAUUGCCUAAUUUAUCACCCACAUUUAUUACUUGAUAUUUGCCCAUUAAUAUGUUACCAUAACGGUCUUAAUGGAAGAUGUCGGUAACAUACAAAACGAAUAAAACGUUGGGUCGUCUAGUUCAAACCCUAUUACUACAGAAAACAUACCAUCAGCUUUGAGGGGUAUAGCUAGUAGAACAUAAUGUACAGAUCCGGUGUUCCCAUAUUGCAGAUCGAUUGUGCUACGUGGAUCCGUUCGAGAUUUUGAGAUUUUCCGCUUUUGCAAAUUUCAUCAAUGGUUGGAGGUAUUUUGAUAUUUGCAUUUCCGCAAAUCAAUCUUGAAUUCUAUAUGAAUUUAUCUGUGAUUGAUAAAUUGGGAUUGUCAGGUUUAGUUUAUAUUUAACCUCACAGUUGGUAUCAGAGCAAGUUUGCAAUCUAUACCUUGGUGAAAUUUUGGAAUUUAUUUUCAUUGAAUUAUGUAUGGGUAAAUUCGGAUUUUUAUUGUUUGGAACGGAAUUUAAAAUUCCGGCCAAAUUUGGGUGACCCACCACGCGAUAAUAGAUCUGCAUGAUCACACCGCCAUAAGGAAGAAAAAUCCUUAAAUUUUUCGGCAUAUUACUGAUUAUCGGAGGUUAAUUGAGCGGUGAAAUGUUAGUGGUUAGGGGGGCAUAUUGUUUUAGGCUUAAUUCCGGUCGGUACGUUGGUCGUUUUUGCCGGAUCUUGAAAUUAUUCAUUCGUCCCGACAUUCUCUUCGAAACCCAUAAGUCAAUUUGGUCAGAUAUGGGUUGUGGGAGGAGACCCGGGUGGCGGAACGGAGUUGAUCACGGCAGAAGAACGGUGAAAAAAAAAAAAAAGCACGCACGCACCUGAUGGGCUGAAGCGGGCGCAUGCAGCGCGCGUGCCUGUGAUUUGUCAGUUUUGCCCCCGGGCGUGAAAAUUUAUAAUGGAGCCAAUGCGGCUAAGCCGAAAGGAAAAUCUAUGGUGUGUGAAAUUUGGACCCAAUGUCACCUAAUUAGAACAAAAUACGAAAAAAGAAUAUUUAAUCGAAGUUUUGUAAGCAUAUAUCGAUUCGUGUAGUACGAUUCAAGAUCUAAGCAAUAUGUAUUCAUUAAGAGAAUUGCUGAUCUCCUUAAUUGCAAGUCAAUUUAAAAUUUAAUACAUAUCCAUCAAUUUAAGUGAUUCAAAUUUUGUAUGUUUACGUGCCAAACAAUGUAAUGUUAUCGUACAAGGGCAAGGGCCACGACGACCUCGCCUGAGGCGUCGCGGCCCUCGCCUGUGGCCAAUGAGGGCAAAGACCUUCCCCCUUGGUUAGCAAGGGCUACUGCUCCCUCACUUGUGGCCAGUGAGGGUGCAGAGGCCCUCGUCGAUAGGGGUAUAAAUGGUUUGGUUCGAUUUUUUUGGAAAACCGAACCAUCCAAGCCGAAACUGAACCGACCCGAAAUCCCAAUUCAGUUCAAUUUUUCGAUAUUUACUUUUCGUGUUUGUUUUUUUCCUUGCAUACACCACUUUUUAUAAAUUUUCUUUUAUUUGUACAAUAAAUAGAUUUUAAUUAUUUUAAUUAUUUUCCUUUUCUUUCUUUUUUAAUUUUAUUUUUUUUCCUUUUCUUACUUUUUCUUUUUCUUUUUUUUCUUCAUUAGCCAAUUGUAGGCAAAGGCGAGCUUGAGCCUCGCCUAAUCUAGUGAGGCCAAGCUCGAAGCCCGCCAAAUCUGGCGAGCUGGGUGGGGCUCGAGCCUCGCUGGAGGUUGCCAAAUGUCUAGCGACCUCUACAAGGCUCGAGCCUCGUCCAAGUGGCUAGAUCUGGUGAGGCUCGAGCUUGCUGGCAUCAGGCAAGUUUGGCCUCGCCACAAGUCAACGAGGCUUGAGCUCGCUUUUGGCUAGUCACCAGCCGCCACGUGGUCGACGAUUGACCAAUGAAGAAGAAAAACAAGAAAAAUAGAAAAAGAAAAAAAAUCAAAAAAUCAAAAAAUGAUUUUUUAAAAAAUUAAAAGAAAAAAUAGAAAAUGAAAUUUUUUAUAUUUUAUAAGUUUGGUUCAAUUAACUGAACCAAUAAAAACCAAACCGAUUAAAAAAGUUUUGAUUUUUAAUGAAAACCGAAUCGAAAAAAGGUUUUGUUCGGUUCAUUUUUUAACACCCCUACUCGUCGAUCAACAACCUUGCUUGGAACUAGGCGAGGGCCUACAUCCUCGCUUGUGGCGUGAAGGCACGGCGGCCCUCGCCAGUGGUCAAUGAGGGCCCUUGGCCCUCGCCCCAACCAGUUUGUGGCCGACAAUGGUUGGCCGGUGAUCUUGCUAGCCAAGGGGUAAGGAGAAAGAAAAAAAAAAGAAAAAAAAAUUAAAAAUCUAAAAAAUAUUAUACAAUUACAAAUUUGUCCACGUCAGCACCGGUGACACCAUGUAGGACGGCCGAUGGUCACGUCAUCAAUUUCCAACUUAAAUUUGCCGGAUGAAUUGAAUUGAUACAAAUGUAAAAAGAUUUAGAACUAAAUUGAUCCAAUUAAAAAAUUUAGAACUAAAUUCAUACUAAUGUAAAAGAUUUAUGACUUUUUUUUAUACUUUUCCCAUUUUUUUAAAAAAAAAACACCCAGGCCUCUGCAGCACGCAGUACUUUUUUUUUUUUUCAAAUCAAGCACCAGGGAGAAUUGACCAAGGAGAAUUGAAAUGUAUAUAACUCAACAAGAAAUAGCAAUCUAACAUAGGCAAUUUUAUGAGAACACGAUUUCUACCUUAUGAAUCGCUAUAGAAAUCCAGUUCAAAUCAAGCCAAUCUCAACAAAGAUAAGUUGAACCAGUACUACAAUAGAAACAUAGAUCCUCUAAUUACAAGGUAAAUAGUAAAUACCGAUCUUGCCUUCAUGCGUACAUGAAAAAGCAACAGGCGCAUUACACCCGUGCAGCAACACUUUGUUAUUAUGAACCCUCCAUCUCUACGUUGAGAAAGGGUAGGCCACCUCUUCAAGUGUGAGUCGUUGUUGCAACAUUUGCUGGGACUCCUUCCAUGACUUGACUUUGUGGUGGUGCAGCCUCACGAAAUAUGUCGUUCAAUAUGUAAAAGUGUCCUUGUGGUGUUGGCAUCAACCGUAAACUCUAUGGGCAGAAAACACUCGGCAAAAUGUUAUGCAAUACGCAAAUUUCACAUGUACACGAAUCAUAUCAUCAAAAUGCAAUACAUCCAUAUACUGAUGAUGCAUCAAGCAACAUGAAAAACGUGACUUAGUACUACCAAAGAAGGAAGCCAAAAGGUCAAUCUUAUACUCAUUCAAUACUUUCUGACAAGGCCUAUUAUAGCCUCCAUCAAAAACAUCUGCUUGACUGACCAAACAAAAGGGCUUCGAAAGAAAGAAAAAGGUGCGGGCCACACUCAUGAGGGACUGCAUCUAUGAGUUCUAUCCAAACACAGUCGUUUGAGUGGAUCCAUCCUUUUCUUCUUCCGUGAUCCAUUUCAUGUCAAUUCUGAGGAUCUAGUUGAAUGGUAGAAGAAUCUAUGGGUUCGUCUGGACAUACGAGUCACAGCCGACUGGGAAAGAUAGGCGCAUUUUAAAACACCCACUCUAUGAGCAGAGGGGAUGUAGGAAAAUUUUCCCUCUCUUUUUUAUAUUGAUAUUGAAAAAUUGAAAAACCGAAUGUGGUUUGGCUCCCUUCGCUACACUAGCCUUGAUUGGCGGAUGGAAGUACCCAAGUGCGUCUUGGAUUUUUUGACUCGCCCCUCGCUACCUGUCUCAUGCCAGGUGCGUCGUGGAUUUGAAUCACCAAAUCCAUAACAAACGCCGAUCAUGCCGUAACACCAACGAAGGAGACAGGGAAGAAAAACCCUAGCAUCAUCUAAACAAAUGAACAUCCCAUGCUUGCACAAACAUCCACCAUAACAGGAGUUCUUUGAUCCGCAUAGCGCAUCGAAUCAGAUCCACGCGAAAUCAACCGACAGAGAGGAAAGGGAGAGGAACAGCAAGACACCUGGCAGAAAUUGAGGGUGUGCUGCUUGCCAUCUUGCUGGACGACGUCUACCACGCCGUUGACCAAAACGAGCAUCCUGCCGGCGUCGUCGCAGGGAUCGCAGUCGAAGUUGGUGAUCCUGCGCUUGCACCCCGCGAAGGGACGGGAGGUGAGCUUGGCGAGGAUACCCUCCUUGCCAUGGGUCGUCUGGCCCUGGAUCGUCAUCCACGACCCUUCCGUGUAGAGGUCCGCCACGUCCGCCGGGUCCACGGCCAACCUAUCGUAAUAAGACGCCACGAAAUCAACGGCAGGCUUAAGCAUAAGCAUAUCAGCUGUUGGGGGCUCCAUGUUUUCGCGAUCGUCCUCUCUUCUUCUGGUUGUGUGCUUCAGAUCCACGAGGCAAAAAAUAUGAGGGUUGCGGUUUUGUCGUUUUGCACUUUAUAGGGGAUACUCGUCGCCAUCUAGGGUUAGGAUACGUGCAACGUCAGGAAACUUACCAUCAAAGUGGAACCGAAUACUAAAGUUUUCAAAAAAAAUAUAAUAAAAUUUAAAAUUUUUCAAAAAGUGCAAUAAAAAUAUACGAAAGUGCAAUCGAAAUCUUAAAUUUUCAAAAAAUAUAAUUGAAUCCUGAAAAAUUUUAAAAAAAUAAUAAACGAAAAGAUUUGAUUAGAUCAAUUUGAUAAAUUUUAAGAUCUAAUUGUACUUUUUGAAAAUUUUAAAAUUUAAUUGCACAUUUUAAAAAGUUUUAAGGCUUGAUUAUAAUUUUUAAAAGCUUUAAAACUGAUAAAUUUUAAAAGUUUCAAUGCACUCGUCCCUUUAAUGGUUUUUAGUUUUUGGGGAGCUUUUGCUUGACGGAAGCGGCUGAAAUAUCGGAACGUCCUAUUGCAUUUCUGGUUUCAUUGUUUGUUUGUCUGGAAAGUUUCUAGGAGCAAGAAAAUGAGGGAAAAUCAGAAUGCUGGUCAAACAGAGGGCAGGAAAAUUGCUGGAGACCGAGUGCGCAUGCUCAUAAUAAUGAGGCAUUCGCCCUGUGUUCGCAUUUGUUAUGUCGACUCUUUUAGCUGUAUUUUUUUUUUUUCAUUUCUUAAGGCGGAUUCAGAAGACAAACCGGUUGAGCUGACAUGACCACCGCAAGCCGGCGGAGGGGACUAUUUUAUCUGACACCGCCAAUGCAACAUUGCGCAGUACGCUGAACGUAGGGGUCUCUCCUUGCGUUUAAGCUCUUCGUCCUCCUUCGCCAGACACAACUUCAUGCCCGUAGCCACCGGCUCGAAGCUCUCCAUCUCUUUCCCAUUGAAGUUCUUGCUGACGAUUGAGUGCGUGCACCAGAAAGGAGUCGGCGGCCGAGACUUCAGAGGCCAAAGCCUCCACGUCAAGAUCUACAGCGACCAAGUCGCGAAGCCUGGGGCCAUUAUCAUACGCCAACGUGGUAUUAAGGUAAAUUGGUAUGUUCAUCCGCGUUUCUUAAUCUUGGUUGGCAAUUAUUGUGGGAAUAUGUUACAUCCUGAGAUGACGAAAUCUUGUUAUCUAUGGUAUUAUAUGGUUCAAUUGGUUUCUCUUUUUUCAUAAAGGAGAGUUGUUUAGACCCGUCAAACAUGUAAGUCGGAUUGGGCUUUAGUUGGGUUGAAAAUUGUUGGACCAAAAUUAACUCAUUUGACCCAUUUUAAUUUAUUUUCAUGUAAUAUAAAUUUAGUGACCCAUAUCCACCUCAUAAUACUAACACACUAUCACAUCUAAUCUAAUUUAGGAAAUAACAUAUCCGAAUUAAAGUGAGAGUGAUUAGUGAAUGAGCGUGAGAUCAAGUCAGGAAAGGAGAUAGUGAAAAGAGUCAUAAAAAUGGGUUUGUAUAAUUAAAUUAUGAACUCAUUUAAUAUUGAUAUUAUUUUGGAUUUUGCCAUUCUAAACUCAAUUACUAAAUAACUAACCCAUAUUAACCCUUUCUUUUAUUUAUAGUCCAACUUGCUUUGUCUUUCACCUCAUAACUCGCCUAAUAUAUUUCGUUUUCUAAAGGAGGAGAUAUCUAAUAGAAUGUUAGGGUGUCUUUUUUCACAUUAACUAAAAUAAAAAUACUCUCUUACUUUCUCGUCAAAAUUUAAUAUAUUAUUCAAACAUUAAAAUAUUAUUAAUGAAUUGCGUGCUAAUCUAAAUGUCAACAUUUAGUUAUUUUGUGAGAGUUUACAAAGAAAAAUUAAAAUGCGUGCUUAAAUAAAACAAAAAGUGAAAAUCAAUCCGAACAAGCCUAUCGGGAUAGCAUUUUUACCCAGUCAUGAGAAGAUUUGACAAUGACUUGCCCUUCAGACAUUUGAAAUUCAAGACUAUUAAGUAGGAGAUGAUGGAUUGGCGGCGAACUCGGAGACUUGGCAAGUCCAAACAAGACAAAAAGGGAUCAUGUGACGAAUUUGGAAGUACACAAUUUAUUCUUAGACCUACAACUUUCAUUCUUACACCUGAAUCGAACGAUUUAGUACAGACUCUACAGACAAUAGUCCUAAGAUAAGAACAAGGUCACUGUGAAUGGUGAUUUUGCUAUAUAUUAACAUGGAUUGGGAAGUUGCUGCCAUUUUGGUGCUCUCAGGUAGGCUCUGAUACCAUGUGAAGAUGAGUAGAAGGAAGAGAAAGAUGAAAAUGAAUGAAGAGUUUUGGAUUCUCUCUUCUCUGUAUUCAAUGAACGAAAGAAGAAACAUUCAUCUGAGAGCUUACAUCUCACUUGCUAUGUUUCUCUUAUUUAUAUUACAUGAUCUAAACGAAGAAGUAACAGAACUAACAGAAAAGAAGGUCAAACGAAUUAAAGUUCUUAAUCCGUUGCUUAUUCUAUUAAAUCUGCAAAACAGAAUAACGGUUCCUCAUUAAGAAAGCUCCAUUCAUAAUUGGACACGUGGAGCUGGAAGUUGUGUCACCUACUCCAUUCCUCCUAGUUGAAACAGUAACAUCAUGUACACGUGUGGCUAACAUAGCUGACGACUCACAGCUUACUUCACUUCUUCUGAUCUUCGUUGUAGCAGCAGCAUCUUCAUUCCUUUUCUUUGAUGAAACGACAACAUCAACAGAGUGUGCGUGUGCUUGUGCAGACUCUGCUUCCACAUGAUUCUUAACACCGAGCUUCCCACACCACCUCGAACCAUCCCUUGCAUGAUUUUUAUCGAAAGUUAGUGAGAGAGUCGAAGGAGAGGGAGAGAGAGAAAGAGAGAGCUAGGGUUUCUCUCCAAACCCUGCUUUCUUUUCUUGGUCUUUGCCUUGGAGAGAGGAGAGGAUUUCUCACGGUCGGAGGUGGAAAAUGGCCUUCUUUGAUCACCACCAUCUCUGGACCUUCACUUUCGGUAUCUUAGGUAAAGAAGGAAGAAACCAAAACUGACUUGAAUGGUGCUCGCCCCUGCAAUAGCCACGUCAUUGCUUCAUCAAGCGGAAAAAAUAAAUGCAAUGUAAACCAUAUGAAGAUGGAUGGAGGAAAGCGGGAUGAAACGAAAUGGCGCAAGCAAGCAGCAUUAUUGCGAAGAAGAAGAAGCAAAUGGAGAUGAAGGGCGAACAGCUUCUGGUUUCUCCCUUCUUCACCUAGGAUCCGAAAGUGAAGGUCCAGAGAUGGUGGUGAUCAAAGAAGGCCAUUUUCCACCUGCGACGGUGAGAAAUCCUCUCCUCUCUCCAAGGCAAAGACCAAGAAAAGAAAGCAGGGUUUGCAGAGAAACCCUGGCUCUCUCUCUCUCUCUCUCUCCCUCCUCCGACUCUCUCACUAACUUUCGAUGAAAAUCAUGCAAGGGAUGGCUCGGCUUUAUAUACACACACACAAUGUUCCCACUAAGCACAGGAGAAAAAUGGGGGUUGCCGUGUGUGUGUGUAUGCGCGCUACAGAGAGAGAGAGAGAGAGAAUAUGCGUAUUAAAUUCGUAGUGCUCGCAUGACAAGUGGAGCACUAGUGGGUAGCGUAGCACAAAAUCAAUCUCUCCCAGCCCCUCCUUCCCUCCUCGUCGACGCCCCACGUGCCUCCCUCCUCGCGUGCCCGUACAGACUCCCUCGGCCACGAUGUCGGGGUCGAAAGUCGUGCGGACGCGACCGGCCGUACCUCCCCUCAAUUAUAAUUCGAUUUCCUCCGCCGCGAGGCGGAGACCCUCUGGAGCGGCGCGGGGCGGCGGCACGCGCCCCCAGGCAAAAAAUUUUUCAAUGAUCUAAUUGCUACCGACUUUUCAUAAAAAAAUAUCCGACUUGUAUCAUUGAUAUUAAUAGAAACUAAAUCAUUAUAGCAAGGAAAAGUUUAAUUCAUCGGGAAUAAUUAGUGAAUUACAACUCUAUUGUACCGCAAUUGAUGCAUUAGUCUUUGCAGCCUUAAUGCUUUUUAUUGAUUGGUUUCAUUAUCACAAAAUUGCUCAAAAAAAUUCAUAAAAAAAAAGAUAUAACUUUUUACUCAAAUUCUUUCUUUUUUAUAGGAAUCGAUAAUAAGAAAUAUUGACCUUACCAAAAAAAAUAAUAACAAUAAGAAAUAUUGAAAUCCGAUUAAAUUUCAUCCAAAUAAAAUAUUCGAUUUCAUUGGAGAUUGUGGAAAUCUCCAUUUCUCAUAGGUGGUAUGGACUGAAUCCAUCAUAUCACACCAAUCACAUUUCAUGAAUGCAUAAAAACUACCUCGGGUCUCAUCAAGAAAAGAGUUUCCAUACACUUUCUCUACCGCGAUUCGCCUUGUUCGCCACAUCACGGCAUUACUUACCAAUCGAGUUUCGGUUUAUAUUUUCUGAUGUGUAUGAAUGCGACGGGGAUGGCGUGGGGUCCAGCUACAGGCACAUCAAUAAUUAGGAAGGGCCACGUGGGCUUCGUCGCAAUGCGAUGUGGUCCAAACGUACGGGAGGAACCAGCAGGUGUCGGCAUGGGACCGGGGGAUGACAAUGAACUGGAUUGUGGACGGAUCCGAUGACGGCGACAGAGCCGAGUCAUCUCGAAGCAAAAUCGUUCGUGGGCUACAGAGAUCGAAGAAGGCUCAUGUGUUCGUCCCUUUGUACUUGAGGAUUGAUCCUUCUUCCUUCUUACCGUUUUCGGUUGGUAGAUCGGCUUUCAAUGCAAUCCUCGAGUUUACAAUUGUUAUAAUCAAGUCUUUGAUCGCUACAUUAUCCAAUUCCAUCCAGAUUCCACAAUAUGAAAAGUAACACAUACCAUCAAUAUAAAAGUACAAUGACCAGAUAAGUGACAUUGUGAUUAAUCAAUUUCACACUGAUCAAACUUCAAGAUGGCAAGAAUAUUGUUAGCGUAAUUAAAUAUUAAAUCACGUAUUCAUUUAACAACUUAAACUUUUAGCACUUUUAACAGUUGUCCAUCAAAAUCUUACAUGAUAUCAAAGUUAGAUGUUUUGAAUUCGAGUCUUUCCAAGCUCAAUUUACUUCCCCAAUUAAUUAUGCCCACACUUAGUACUAUAUAAAUAGAUUAGACUAAGUAUGAGAAGGAGUGCUAACAUAAUUAAAAAUUAAAUCAUACUUUCAUCUAAUAAUUUAAACUUGCAGAACAAUUGACGGUGGUCCACCAAAAUCUCACAAACAUCAAUCCAUUGUGCAAUCAAGCAUAAUUUUCAAUGGUUCUUGAUCCAUUGCAACAUUCAUCGUCUCGACAUCUCACUUUCAGUAGCAUCAAUAAGCAUAUUUUGCUUUGUUAGAAUUGGCGAUGAAAGGGGUUUGAUUGGAAAAUAAUUAAUUCCGCAAAUUUAAGGAACUGAUUUUGUCAAUCUCAAGUCAAAGAUCACAUUGAAAUUAUAUUGCAUGUUCAGACUUCUGAGACUGAUAAAUACACCUUUUCCUCUAGAUAAGAAUGACUUUUUCUUCACUAAGUUGAAUCAUGCGAGUCCAUUAGAAGAGACCCAAAAGAAAAACCACUAUCUUUCUCUCCCUCCGUGGCAAGAAUAUUUCAUAAAAUAGGUAAACACACAGUAAAUGCAUGAACGUUUGUCCAAUUUAUUACUGGGUAUUCAAACUUUCUUUUUAUUCAAUUAAGUACUUCUAAUGCUAUAAAACCUCCGUUAAAAUCAUGGACGAGAAUGCCAAAUUGGACAUUAACGUCAUUAAAUAACAACACACUGGCAUUUGAUGUGGCCUUUUGAAAUGAUAGGUUAAUGAGGACACGUUGAAAGGCUGAAAUGGUCCAAGUCAUCUCUCUCUCUCUCUCUCCCUCCCUCCCACCCUCCCUCCCCCGUCCCCCUCUCUCUCGUGUAACCUAAAUAAAGAUGGCAAAACUUUUGCCAAAUAAACGAGCCAUUUUAGCAAAAUCACAUUACACGGCAAUUUAUAUAAAAGAGGUCUCGCAUUGAGUCAAAUUUGAAAAAGGCAUUUGAUCAAAAAGAGAAAUUUAGGUUAUGGUGCCAUUAUCCCUUCACAGAGACAAUAUGUAUAAAGCAGAGACAAUAUGUAUAAAGGGCCUUCAUAAUGGGAAUAGGAGAUAGAUAAAAUCAGGCCAUAUGUGCAACAUAAGGGCAUCAAUCACUUUUGUGGAAAAGCAUAGGAAUGCACUCUUCCAAUUUGGGGGGGAAGAUUACAUAGGAAAUGGUAAAUUGGAUGAAGGAGAUAAAUGAAGAUGAUAGAUUGAUAGAAAGGAACCGCACAAACGGAGUUCUUGCUAUCUUUCAAUUCACAUGGGUGUAGCUGGCCUAGCCUCUAGGAAGGCUACUUAUUUUUUUUAGGCGAAGUACUCCUUUUUGUCCCAACAUAAAGUGGCAAAAGAGGAGAGAAAGUAGUACAAAGUAAAGUGAGAAAACAAAGACAACAUGCUAGUAACACAAGUGACUAUUCUCAUUUGGCAAUUCCAGUUCGCCAACCUACUCCUUGGAUCAAUCCAACUCUUUGAUUGCAACAACAAACCUAACCCCGUUUCAUUUCUCACUAAAUCAUAUCCUUUGUCGACACUUUAAAAUGCCAAACUUUUAUUUAUAACUGACAAGUGAUGAAUUUGGUCAAUAAUAGUAAAAUACAGUAAACAAUAGUCAUCGAUGAAAAGAGCAGUUUAUAAAUUAAAGAACAUUGGAAACUUGUUAAGGAAGCUAUGGAGAUCAAACAUUGAUUAUUGAUGAAAACUCUCACUUGAGGGGAUAAAGUCAUCAACAUCAACAUGCAAUUAUUGAGAUUUUUGGAUAUGUAACUUCUUUUAAAUAAGUUUUGCUAGAUAAUAGGUAAUUGCUGGGUAGUCAUACUUAUUGCCACUAGUUUAGGAUUUUGUAACUUAGGGUGGAUAAUGCACCAUCUUGUAACUGCAUAUUGGAUUAGGAUGUUAUUGUUAUGAAAAUAAAUUUGUGAAGCUAUCUCUUUCAAAUUUCAUAACUAUUUGUAACCGCCACAUUGUACUUUGCAUAAUAUUCAAUCACUCACAAAACUCAAUGUUUGUUGCAAGUUUAUCUUUAUCUUAAAUAUCUGAUUGUGACUGCCUCCAAUUUUCGUACCUUUAAUUUUUUUUGUCAUUUACUUUCCUGUCUAAGAUCAACGAAAGGUUUUUAAUAAGUUUUGUCAUGUGCAAAAAGUAGUUUAUUGUCCAUUCAAUUUCGUUAUAACAUAAAGAUAUUUCAUCAGCACCCUUUCGAAGAAACAAUCCUAAAUAUCAGGCUAACACGAGACAUCGUUAGUGUCUGGAGAAGCUAUAAUACGACAUAAUCCUGUGUUUUAAGGUAACAAUUUUGUCCAAAGCCCAUGAGUUGCGCGAAUGGAAAAGCAAGCCGAGGUGGGGACCACAGAGAUCUUUCCUUGAAGAAUCCGACGGCAGAGGAUCGAUGCCGAAGGGGGGCCCACCAGAGGUACUUUUGAAAAACUGUCAGAUUUCUUGCCAUUUUAAGGUGGACAUGAUAAUGGCAAAAAAAAAAAAAAAAGGACAUAAUGGAGAUCGACAUUAAAUAUGAAGGGGAACUUUUAAUAUUAGUUAGAAACUAUACUGGCAUUUUAGCGAAUUGACAUUUAUUUUUAGAUUAAUAUCAUAAAAAAUCAUGAAUUAGUACACCACAAAUUUAUCUUAAAUUAACUUUUUGACUUCCACUGUCAAUUAAUUUAAUUUGAUUGAUAGAAAUAUGACGUUUUAAAUUAAUUUUUGGGAAAUUUUCAAAUUAAAGCAUGAAAUACCUUGGUUUUUUAAAUAAUAACUCAAAAUGGAUAUUAUUUCAUAUAAGGAUUUGAAAUGGUGAAAUCGUCUUCAAUAAGAGCCUUUGGCCGACUAAUGACUAUUCUGGCCAUCGAUAAGGGGUAUUUUAGUCAAAAAAUUGUACCUAUAUUUCAUUUUCUUGAUUUUUUUCUUUACUUUUUUUCAUGUUCUUUUAAUUUUCUUUUUUUCUCUUUCCUUCCUUAGCCACCGUCGUCGAUGGCUAGUGAAGAUCGCCUAACUCAACCGAAGGCCACCCUCCCCAACCUAGGCGAGGGCAAGGGUUGCCCUUGUUGGCAUUAGGUGAGAGUCCCCUUACUUGGGUUGGGCGGGUGAGGGCAGCCCUCACCUCAGUACGUGACCCCUAUCAUGGCUAAUAGACGAAAGGGGAAAAGAAGAAGAAACAAGAAGAAAUUUCUUUUAAAAAAAAAAGAUAAAAAUAGCCUUGGAUGGGAAAGGUCAGGCCAGGUGACGUCCUACGUGGCGCGCACAAGUCUAGGUGGCUCCACUAACGUGUUGACACGUGUCCUUGGACUUAGACCAGCUAGAAAAUAGAGAAGUAAAGUCAGAGGAUUUCUUUUUCUCCCUUCUCUGCCGCGGCUGAAAAGAGACUCAACAAAUUAAUGUUCUUGUCGCUCAAAAACCUCCCUCUUCUUUUCAAUUUUCAAGUGCUUUUUUGCCUUCUCCUUCCUCGAGUCGAGAAGAAAAAACGCAGAUACCUUCCCUCUCUCUCCGGCACGCCCGACCGCCUCCUCCUCCACCUCCGCCUCCUCCUGCCCCUCCCCCUUCCCCAAAGCCCCCGUCGGUCGCAGGUGUUGCUCAGAUCUGCCUCUGGCACGGGGUCGCAGCUGCUAGAUCCCGAGCGCCCUUUGCCUCCGCCAUCACAUCCGGAGUCUCAUCGGCGGCUACGAUUCGUCAGCUCACUCUUCUAUCCCCCCCUCUCUCUGUGCAGCAUCUUGCCAUUUCCAGCAGUCGGAGCAUCAACAAGAGUGUCUUCGAGCUGCCCGCGUAUGACCCAGCGCCGGAACUGAUGAGGAAGGAGAAAACACGUGACAAGCUCGCUACCUCUGGUCUUGCUCGUGUGUACGGCUGUUCUCUGGUUCUUUUCCAAUCCCGGUACAAGAAAACUAGGAAACUUCACACACCCAUUGAAGCUGAGCAACAGAGCAAUCCAUUACACGAGGCUCUGACCUUGACUCUAUCAUUCAAGAAAUCCAGGGAAAAUUCAGAAACACCCCUCAACCUAUCGACGCAGAUGAAGAUGGGCACUUCUUCGAUGCACAUGUAAAUCGGGCUACACGUCCACGGCCCCCACGGCCCCCACUUCCUCCAUCUCUCUCGCCUAUCGAAUUAAUUGUUCGGCGCCAUUUGCAGCUAACGCUGUGGGUCAGAGCCAUGGACCGGAGCUCAGGUUCUUUAGCGUGCUGUGCUCCAGCUACUGCGCCCGCGCGGCACUUUUCGUGCGCGGACAGGGCCUCCAUCACAGAAUAAAUAGAGGUUUUUCAGGUAUGGAGGCUUGGUGAUAGUGGCUGCUUCGGCUCCUAAUUCCAGCUGGAGUCGGAGAGCUUAUCGGGAGGCCAAGAGGAAGAAUUCUUUGCUGGCUGUUGUGGCUCCUGUGAAGCCGAUCGCAUCCUUUGCCGUUCCCGCCAGAGUAUUUGUGGCCCACAAUGAGCACGCAUCUAGAAACCAUGGAUCAUCCGAAAAAAGAUUCAUAAGUGGUUAUUAAUGGAGUUGAAGUUACCAAAUUCUAAGAAGUUGGUAUCGAUUUAUGCCUAAUUGCUCCAUAUAUAGUUCCUCUUAUCACACUUUCUAAACAAACCAAAGCCAAUCCGAAUUGAUCUUGUAAGAGAUCCGUUACAGAAUGAGUACGCUUAUUUUUCAAAUGAUUCGUGUCGUCAAGUUUACCCAUUCCAAAUUUCAUGCCAAUCAAAUGAUCAUUCAGACUAAUCUGCCCACUCGGCUUCUUGUAUCGAUUCAUGUAUUUACUCUAAUCAGACUAUUAUUCCGUAACGUUAUCGAAGAAGAUUUAGGGAAAAUAUGCACUUAUUCAGAAAUGUAAAAACAUCGAUCUAGUUCAUUAUCGAGAAACCCUGGGAUUGAAAAUACUGAAGGCUAGGCGGUUCAUGGAGGACUACUACAGGACGUUUGACACAAACCAGGCGGACUUGGUGAACCUGUGCUAGGAAGAGUCGGUGUGGAUUUCGAGGGCCAGAAGAUCAAGGGCAAGGAGGCUAUCGUCGCCAAACUCACCUCCCUUCAGUGCCAGUACCAAAUCGGAAGAAUCAGCCGCCUUCCCACCCGCAAUCCCAGCAGCGGCACGACCGCCAUGGUCAGCGGCUACAUCUGGCUAGACGGCAAGUAGGAUGCCCUCAUGUUCUCCCAGGCCCCUCUCUCUCUCUCUCUCUCUCUCGGUAAGGAUCCAUUUAUAUUUUUAUUUUAAAUCUUUUUUAGUGUGGAUGAUGGUUUGGAUGAGAUGGCAAUUUUUGUUGAUUGAGACUUCCUUCGUUUCACGAAACGCGUUUGUUUCACGAAAAUAAACUAGCGGUGGAAAAUGUUUUUUCCACCAAAGAAGAAAAGUCUUGUAAAAGAGGGGAAAUUUUUUUCUGUUUUGAGAAAGAGGAAAACAUUUUCUAUAUCUUAUUUUACCUCACUUUCUUUUAAUAAAUAUCUUUUCAUUUAAAAAAGGGUUAAUACCCUGAAAAACUCCAAACUGGUACACUUGUGACAAAUUUACCCCAAACUAUUUUUUUGACUACAAAAAACCCCAAACUGGUACACUUGUGACAAAUUUACCCUCUGUUAGUUUUUGUUAAAUUUUAAUUAAGUUAAAUGACACGUGAUGGUUGAUUGGUAUACCGAUUUGGGAUUUUACACUCCGUUUGUCACAGUUUAUAAUUUUUGUAAUUUUUUUGUAGUAUUAAUCCAAUUUACUGGAGGGUAUAAUUGUCACAAAUUUACUAGUUUGGGGUUUUUUUGUGGUCGAAUAAAUUAGUUUAGGGUAAAUUGUCAUAAAUAUACCACUUUAGGGUUUUUUAUGAUCAGUUGGGGUAAAUUUGUCAUAGGUGUAUCAGUUUGGGGGUUUUUAUGGUCAAAAAAAUAAUUUGGGGUAAAUUUGUCACAGGUGUACCAGUUUAGGAUUUUUCAGGGUAUUAACCCUUUAAAAAAAUCGAGUUUUAAUUAUUCUUUAUUUUUUUCUUUUCUUUCCUUUUUCUUUUCCUUUUUCUUUGGUUGGUCGCUAGUUGUUGGUCACUAGCCCAAAUGAAGGCCGGCAACCAACGACCGGCUAUUGGUGACUAUAAAACUUGCCAACGAUUGAGCCUCAUAGAUUGUCCGCAGCAACCAAUUGAGGGAAAGAAAAUGAAAGAAAAGAAGAAUACAAAGUAAUUUAAAAUUUGAAUAUUUUUAAAAUAAAAAGAACUGAAAAAAUAAAAAUAAAAAUAAAAUGAUCAAAAGAAGAGCAUGGAAGAAAAUCAAAUUAGAUGCGGAAAAUAUUUUCCACUUCAAUUUUAAGUUUCUGACGAAUGCCAAAAAAUAUGGUUAUAUACCUAAAAAAUGAUUACUAGGGAAAAUAUUUUCCAAAAACAUUACAUUUUCCGCGAAACAACCUAAAUAUCACUUCAUAGCACUUCAUAGCGGAGUAUCUAUUUAUAAGAAGAUUUAUAGCGGAGCCGAAUAGUUGCUCCGAUCAAAUUCAAGAAAAAGCUAACAUUUUGGGGGUGAUGCCUAAAGAAAUUGACCUUUUUAAGUUAUUAUUUCUUCCCUCCUCCUCAAUAAAUCAAUAAAUCAAUCUGUCAAUCCCUCUCCCUCCAAAUUUCUCAUGUCAUUUUAUCGAGGGAAUUCUACCACUAUGUUACCUGUCCCGUGGGAGUUGCCAGAUGCCCUCCUUGUAAACUUGCAGUCUAGCAAGAUGUUUCUGAUGCAGGGUUCGUGAUAUUGAUAAAUAUAAAAUGGUCUUAUUUGACAGUAUUGAAUGAGAUUAAGAUAUGAACCCAACACCACAAGGAAGCUUUUAUGUAUCAUCCCUAAAUUGGAGGACCUUCGAUUGGAGACAGGAUCUUGGACAGGGCAGCGUGUCGGCGGUACGCUCGAGAUUGUCCAAUGCGAACCGUUUUCUCUAGGCUUUUCAGAUGCCGGGAAUUUCAAUCUGUUUCUCCUGUCAAUAAAACUUAUCGUCGUACUGUUUGAAACAGAUUUCUAUGUACGUGAUUUGGUAUGAUAGAACUGCAAGUCUAAGUGGAGUUCAUGUUCGAAUUGAGUCUGCCUAUGUCAGAUUGCUAUUUCAUGUUCAAGUUUUUAUAUUCCGGUUCUCCCUGGUGCAUGAUUUGUUAGGGAGAAAAAGAAGAACUGCAGCGUAGUGUUACUUAAGACCAUUAUUGUCGAUCAUGUGUGCGGGGGUUCAUGGUAUCGUAUCAUCAACUGAUUUAGCCCAUCAAGGUCCUUCAUAAAAUCGUAGGCAGCACCUGCUUUCAAGGCCUUACAUUUAUCCUCUCCAUUCACAUUCACUUGGACUGGGCUCUGCCUUGCUGUUUAAAAUGCUAGAGAGCUGGAUUUGAAUCACUUGAAUUUGCCGCCAGCCAGCCUCGCGACCUCAACUUGAGGUCGGACGGGCCAUGCAGCCCUCGCUGAGGUGGCGCAACCUCAGCCAGUGCCAAAUAUGGCUCGCGGGUGGCCUGAAAUUCAGAACUGUUAAGUAGGAAACUAGGCACAUCCAAACGGGGCAAAAAAGAAUCAUGCAACGAACAUGGAAGUAGACGACGCUAUGCUAAGAUCUACAACUUUCAUUCUUACAUCUGAAUCCAACGCUCUAGUUCAGACUCUACAGACAGUAGAUAAGAAGAACAAGGUCAUUGUGAAUGGUGAGUUUGCUACAUAUGUACACAAUGCCGCCAUUGCUGCUAUGAUACAACCAAUCCACGCGAUUUCCCGGGACUUAUCCUUGUUCCGAAUCUGAAUCCCUCUAAUGAACUUCUAUUUGCUCGGCUGCUGAUGGAGGUCACACGUGAUGAGAUGAAGCGUGUAAGGAAAAAACAACAAGCGUUUGCUAUCUAUGGACAAUCUGUCAAAAAUCGAUUUGCCGGCAAUAAGGCAUUGCUCUAUUUACACACUCUUCCACGUAAUACCUGAAAAUGUCUUCACAAGAAAGCAAGAAAUUACGGGGAGGUUCACAGCUUUUCUUCAUAUAAUCAGCAGUUAGCAAUACGCAAUAAACAAUUUGGCUAACACUUUCAAAUUUAAGAAUAAAGUUGACAGAGGCAGAAGCUUACUUUGGUGAAGAACUUUGACUUCAUUGAAGAGAAGUGAGAAGAAUGGCGAUCCAUUAUGAAUUCAGCGACCUGCAAUGGAGUCACCUUUACAGUUUCUGACUCCGUGCUGAUUAGGAAAAUCGCGAAACUUCCCGAUAAAGUUGUUCUGCUUCAAAAGGAUUCGAAACAUAUCCAUCCAUUCCACACUUCAUGCACUCUUCGUGAGUCGCAUGAAUCACGUCCGCCAUCAUGGCCAAGAUGGGCACAUGCCAAUUCAAGACGUUUCGAUGUGCUUCUGCAGAUACUUCCCCAAGUUGGAUUUUCCGGUUGACACUUCUUUCCAUGUCUCGGAUUGUUUCCGUAGCUUCAAACCUUCAACAAAGCAUUAAAGCCGUCAUCAGAGAGAGCAACCUAUGUGUACUUCACCUUAAGUUAGACCCAUGAACAAGCAAAAAUCUUACAGAGAGAGCUGCACCCGAUAGCCAACAGUUUGAAUCUAAAAGAAAAAUGAAAGAACUAAAGCCCAAGACUUCUAGGUAACUUCCAUUUCUAGCCAAAUUUCACUAAUCAUUUCAUUAUGAAGUGACAUUGAGACAGAAAAUAUGCCAUAAACUGACUGAAUCUGUUUUUGUCGUGAAACACUUCUUACAGGUACAAUUAGUACAAGAACAUGAUUUUAUUAUGCAAUCAUGCUUUUUAUGGUGCAAAAUGUACAAUUAGAACUUCUAAAAAAGAAGAAACCGAGAUGGACCAGCAAAACUAAUGUUUCUCAAAAAUAUUCAGUAUGGAUCAAAAGCUUUAACUGGCUAAGAUGAUGGCCAUGCUAUCACACACAAAAACCAGUUUGGACCAUUGACACCCCAGAACAAAGUGAUGAAUUCUUUAAACCAGAUUUGACAGGGCGUAUAUCAAAUAAAAAAACAUACAUACCCAUCCAUUCCCAGCAUCUGGAUAUCCAUGAAGCAAGCAUAGAAGCUGUGUGGUGGUGUAAGCAAACUAAUCACCUCUUUCCCACUUUCCACACAGACCACUUCAGCUCCAUAUCUUUUCAAUGCACUGCAGCCACUUUAAGAUUCACCUUAUUGUCAUCUACAAUUAGAAUUUUUCUUCCUAGGAGAAGAUGCUGCAGAGAUAACCUGGAGACUUCGCCGUUGCGGCAAUUUCCCUUGUUCCCCAUGUUACCCAUGGUUUGCUGUAGACAAGCAGCCACCAUACUAGCCCUUAGAGGUUUCAUGAUGACAGCAGGACUAUGAGUAUCAGAAGUCACAUUGUCACUCCGGGUUGAACUAAUGGAUUUUGCUAAAAGGAAGAGUCUCGGAGGAACCUUUUGGUCCAUAUG
rnacentral:lncRNA from 1 species